AGGAAUAUUGGACAAUGGGCGCAAGCCUGAUCCAGCCAUGCCGCGUGAAGGAUGAAGGCCCUCUGGGUCGUAAACUUCUUUUAUACGGGAAAAAACCCCCCGAUGCGUCGGGGGUUGAUGGUACUGUAAGAAUAAGGGUCGGCUAACUUCGUGCCAGCAGCCGCGGUAAUACGAAGGACCCGAGCGUUAUCCGGAUUUAUUGGGUUUAAAGGGUGCGUAGGCGGAUUGGUAAGUCAGUGGUGAAAGCCCGUCGCUCAACGGCGGAACUGCCAUUGAUACUGCUAGUCUUGAGUAUGGUUGAGGUGGGCGGAAUGUGUCAUGUAGCGGUGAAAUGCUUAGAUAUGACACAGAACACCGAUUGCGAAGGCAGCUCGCUAAGCCAUAACUGACGCUGAUGCACGAAAGCGUGGGGAGCAAA
rnacentral:rRNA from 1 species